rnacentral:rRNA from 1 species
AGCUUGCUGCUUUGGCUGACGAGUGGCGGACGGGUGAGUAAUGUCUGGGAAAACUGCCUGAUGGAGGGGGAUAACUACUGGAAGCGGUGGCUAAUACCGCAUAACGUCGCAAGAACCAAAGAGGGGGACCUUCGGGCCUCUCACUAUCGGAUGAACCCAGAUGGGAUUAGCUAGUAGGCGGGGUAAUUGCCCACCUAGGCGACGAUCCCUAGCUGGUCUGAGAGGAUGACCCAGCCACACUGGAGCUGAGACACGGUCCAGACUCC